AAAUUCUGAGAUUCCUUAAGUGCCAUCUGCCAUAAUUUGGAUGGUUGUACCUCAAGGACUGCCUGGAUUUUCUUUGCCAGUCAUUUCACAAAUACCUGUAUUCAAAAGGAUUGGAGAAAUAAAAAUGAUUAUUCUUCUGGCUCUCCCAAAAUGCCUAAGAGAAAGAGCAAAAAACUCCCACUAACAGCUAUCAGCUGCCAUCAAGACUACCCAAACUAUCGGAAGAAGAGAGAGUUUGGAGCCGCCCCCACAAUGCUCCCUAAGACUGCUCUCUGAUUAUCUUCUUCCCUCCAACUCAAACAUCUUAGAAAUGCUUCCAAGGAGAGCUGGACCCAUAGCUAGGCCUACUGCCACUCAGGUUCUAGCCAAUACAAGGGGCUGAAGGAAACCAGAAGAGAAAGAGACCAUCCUCCUAAACAGGGUCCUGUUGUGAAGAGGAUUACAAAACACUAAUAGGUUUUUUAAACAACCUAUUAAGUGUUUUGUUGUUUUUUUUUCCACUGGAUCAGUGAGGGAAAAACUUUACCUCUAUUGGUUCCUACAGUGUUCUGAAACACAGAGAAUAAAAUACAAGCUACUGAACACUUUA